GGUCAUGAAUUCAUAUUCAGGCAGUGACGCAGAGGAGCUGCAUUAGACAAGUCUGCAAACUGAAGCUGAACAUUGAAACAGUACUGUUUAAAAUUGUUUGUGUUUUUAAGUAUUAAGUACCACAAUUGUGUUUUUUAAUUUAAAUAUCCUGUCUUCAUGGUUAGAUAGUGUACUGAAGGGAAUGAAAACCAGCAGUGUGUGUGCUCACAUGUUCAAUAACACAUAUCACUUCAAACUGUUGUAGAGUGUGUAACCAUUUGCAGAGUAAUUUUUUCCAUUUCCAAGACAUAAGCACUUUUUAGAAACUAAAAAUCAGUGCUUAGAAAUGCAGGUUGAGUUCCAGCAGGCCUGUAUGAUUUUCUGUGUAGGGGAAAGUAAAAGAAUGAAAAUGAAGGACAGACUAUGCCAGUUCCAAAUAACCACAGCCUGUUGCUCUCUGCUGUAUUGAGGAUGACCACUUAUUAUUAUACAGCACAGAAUGUUGUUAACAGUAUGUAUAACUAAUUCCAUUAAAGCAAUGUUAGUUUAGUUAAAACACAACAUUUACAUAUUUAUACAACACAUAUAUAGUAUAUUACCCCCAAUAUGUAGAGAACAUGAAAGCAAUAUUAUAACUAAGGAGCUAACUUCAACAUCACUGCAAUUCAGGUGAUCAGAAGGUGCUCAACCACAGAAAUGUAAAGUAGAAUUAGAGAAGGUUCUUCAGACUUGGUCCAACAAUUUAAAGGAGAAUGCUACAUUUCAAAUGUAUCAGAAGAUGGGAGAGCUGUGAUAACGCUUAAACCUGCUGCAGCCCUGAGUAAGCUUCAGAAAUUGAGUGGACAAACACUGACCAGGUGAGAUGGGAGAAACAUCACAAUAAUGUCUGUUAGUCUGACACCACCAGAGCUGAAGACACAAAUACCAGAGGAAGCUUCAAUGGACCUUCCUGCUUCAUGCGUUUCAGAGCCACAAGAUCUGUGAGUGAAGUAGGUGGAACAAAGUAGUUUCAGCAGUGCAGGAGCAGUUUCUACAGCAGGAGAGGAGACAUUUCCUUGUUCUGUCCCAGUGAGCCAUUACUGGUAUGUGAACCACAUCUACAAGGAGGAAAUUCAACAUAUCGAGAAAGAGAAUGGAGUUCAAAUGGAGGCAGAAGUGGAUGUGACAUUUGUAGCAGACCAGAAAGAAGGAGGCCCAAAAAAAGGUGCUUAGGUGAAUCUGAUGGCUCAAUAAUUCCUCUCAAGUAUGUAGAUCCAGAAGAGUGGAAGGACUCACUGAAAAUCAUCAAGAGACCUGAGAAAAAGCCCUUGCUUACCCUGUCCUCUGAAGAAAUGACCGUAUGUGGGCCAAGACAAAAACAAGAUGCUAUCAGUAAGUACUUAAAUGCAUAACAGAAAACUUCAACACUUCACUGAACAUAGGCGGGAGCAUCAAAGACCCUCUCGUUGUUGCUGGACUAACCAUGGAGGAGGGCUACUUGAGGUUGAUGACUACUUCCUACGAUGAGCACGUAGCCAUCAAAGCUAAGUUUGGUGUGGACUUGAAGGAAUCAGUCAAGGCAAAGUCAAAACUUGCUACAAAAGAUCUGUGUCAAUGGAAAGCCACGCUGUCAGAGCUCUCCUUCAUCUGUACCAGAAGACUGCCACAUCACCUCUGAGCUUCACUCAACACUGUGGUGCCACUGAAAUUCACUUAAGAAUUUGCAUAUCCUGAUAUUUUAUUAUUUUUUACAACAUGUAUUUACAGGAAUGCACAUAUGGCUGUACUGUAUGCUCUCUGUUCUUGUUAUUUUUCAUAUCAGUAGGGGUAUUGAGGUGCACCCGACAGCAUUAACAGCUUUAGACUUUAUGGUUUAGUAACAUGUAUUAUCCUCACCAAUAAAGUUUUCAGUAUAAGACUUAAAUCUGCAUAUAUCAGUGUAACUGUAUUUAAUGUCUACAGUACACAUGGUCUGAUUUACUGUUUUCUGUUUUUCUUUUAAUGCUGAAGUAUUUUUAAAAGCAGGUUUUUUUGUUCUUUUACUCAAAUACAGGAUUUUUGUACUUCAUCCACCACUGACCUAAGCUUUUAUGUAUACAGCACACAUGGUCUGAUUUACUACCUAAUAAAUUAUUAAUCAACCCACA